rnacentral:rRNA from 1 species
GACGAACGCUGGCGGCGUGCUUAACACAUGCAAGUCGAGCGAUGAGGCACCUUCGGGUGUGAAUUAGCGGCGAACGGGUGAGGAACACGUGAGAAAUCUGCCUUCAACACUGGGAUAACUCCGGGAAACCGGGGCUAAUACCGGAUAUGAAACCUGCGGGCAUCCGCGGGUUUGGAAAGUUUUUCGGUUGAAGAUGAUCUCGCGGCCUAUCAGCUUGUUGGUGAGGUAAUGGCUCACCAAGGCGACGACGGGUAGCCGGCCUGAGAGGGCGACGGGCCAAACUGGAACUGGGACACGGCCCAGACUCCUACGGGAGGCAGCAGUGGGGAAUAUUGGGCAAUGGAGGAAACUCUGACCCAGCGACGCCGCGUGCGGGAUGAAGGCCUUCGGGUUGUAAACCGCUUUCAGCAGGGAAGAAGCGAAAGUGACGGUACCUGCAGAAGAAGCACCGGCUAACUAUGUGCCAGCCGCCGCAGUAA